rnacentral:rRNA from 1 species
AUGGAGGGAGCUCCCGUGACCGCAGCCACAGGGGCCUUGGGCCCCGUCGUAGCCAAGUUGGGUGCUCUGCUGGGCAGCCAGUACAAGCUUCGGCGCCGGACUCGCAAGGACGUCAAGUUCAUCAAAUCCAAGCUCAAGUCUGUGCACUCUAUCCUUUGGGCGAUAUGGGGGAAGGAGACUCUUGAUGCGCAAUCCAAGGAGUUGAAGAAGGAAGCGCUGGAUCUCACCGAUGAUAUGCACGAUGCCAUCGACGACUUCAUCCUCACCGUGGAGCCCAGUCGUAGAAACAAGCACAUGAAGAUACAGAUCAAGAUGCAAGCAAGCCCCUUCCAAGAUUUCAGGACAAGAGUAGAUGAUGUGUCAGCCCGGUGCCGCGGCAAGUGGAAGUGGGAGAAGAACAAGUGUGCUGAACCCAUCUCCAGCUUAUUUUCAAGAAGAAACGCCAAUUCCAGCGCCUCCAGCAAACCGCCUCCUCCUCGAGCUCCAUUUGUCCGGAAGGAUGCAUCAAAGCUCGUCGGUCUGGACACAUGGAGGAAUGAUCUCAUCAGAUACCUGGUAGGAGAUGAAGAGACCACAACGGUGCAGCCGCAACUCAAAAUGGCAUCCAUUGUUGGAAUGGCCGGUGUGGGGAAAACAACCCUUGCCAGCCUUGUUUACGAGGAGAUUGGAAAUAAGUUCCAGUCCCGGGCUUUUGUGUCUCUCACUCCAACUCCCAACAUGAAGGAGGUUCUCACGAGUAUUCUCCGACAAGUAGGAGCUGAACCACUUGCUGGUGCCGAAGCAAGGACAGAGGAAGAUAUCAUCCACACCAUAUCGAAUUUCCUAGAGGACAAAAGGUACCUAGUAAUAAUUGAUGACAUAUGGCAUCGUGGAGAAUGGGAGAUCAUCAGCAAGUCUUUUCCAGAAAAUACUCUGGGCAGUAGAAUUGUCAUGACAAGUCGUAUUGAUCCUAUACCAGGAGAUGAUUUGGAUAAUAACAAGUUGUACAUCAAAAUGAAUCCUAGAUGGGAUUUUUCAAAUGGAAAAUGGUUGUACGGGCAUGAUAGAUUCCUCUACACAACUGAUGAGGAAGAUGUGGCUGCUCGGAUGAAGCCUGACAUGGUUGGAGAAGGUUUUGACUGUGACCAUCCUAUUGUGCGCAUGUGUGGUGGUGUCCCGUUAGCACUACUUUGCAUGUUUUCAGCAAUGGCAAUGGUCCGACAGCAACAAGAACAACUAGGGGUACGUGUAAAGGUACAUGAUGUGCAAGAUAUGAUUGAGAAGCAAGUUAAGCAAAGUGGAAUUCAGAACACUCCAGGGUUCGAACCGUUGGUAGAGAGCUUGGAGCUUGGCUACUAUGAUCUUCCUCACCAUAUGUUGAAGACCUGCUUGUUGUACUGCAGUGUAUACCCUGAGAAUUACCCUUUUCACAUGAACGAUUUAGUCAUGCGAUGGGUAGCUGAAGGAUUUACUUAUAAAGAGGAUGUAGCAAAAGAUUACCUCAAAGAGCUUGCCAACAGGGGGUUCAUGUUGCGGGCCCCUGAAGGGGUCUACCAAAUGAAUCCGAUGAUGCGAAAUUUCCUUAGAUGGAAAUCCCGUGAAGAUAAUUUCAUUACUUGCAGUUCUGACAUCACAUUGGCAUAUGCAUGCCGAAUCCAUCGGCUAUGUAUCGAUGAUUAUCUAGUUGAUGACGGUGCGGUGGAGGUGGUGGAUCCCUUGUUGGAACUGGAUUGGUCCCAGAUUCGAUCUCUUGUUGUUUUUGAAGGUGCUAAGAGAUAUGUCCCUUUUGAGAAGUUGGAACGUGUGCGGGUGUUGGAUCUUCAAUAUUAUCAUCAUCAUCUUGAAUUCCAAAAGUCUCAUUGGAAUCCUUUUGGGGAUUUUGGAUUUGAGGCCCUUGGAAAUCAGCAUGUGAAGCAUAUAUGUGGGCUGCUCCGUGUGAGGCACCUAUUUGGCCUAGAAGGGACAGGAAUCAGUGAGAUACCACCGGAAAUAGGAAGGCUGCAGCAUCUGGAGACAUUACAGGUAAGAUUUACAUGGAUCACAGAGUUACCCUGUGAGAUUGGGGACCUACAACAGUUGAAGACUCUGGCCGUGAGUCGCAACGAUAAGCUGGCAGAGCUGCCCAAGGAUAUGGGGGGUCUGCAACAAUUAGAGACUCUGGACCUGAGCUAUAACGACAGGCUCAGGGAGCUGCCACGUGAGAUCGGGAAGCUCCAGAAUUUGGAGAAUCUGAACCUGCAUGGCACCAAGCUGGUAGAGCUCCCUGCGGAGACCGGGAAGUUGCAGCAUUUGAAAGCACUGGAGGUGGGCUGGGCAAGCAUCAAAAGGCUACCCAGUGAAAUUGGGAACCUGCGACACUUGGAGACCUUGGACCUGAGUAACAACUUGGGGCUCACACAGCUGCCUCGUGAGAUGUGGAAACUGCAUAAUUUGAAGCGGCUGCUCUUGAAAGGUACACGGGUGGCGAAGAUACCAAGGGAAAUCGGAGGGCUGAAGAAGCUGGAGAUUUUGAGAUUAGGUGCGACCAUGGGUGCCAUGCCCUGGGAAGCUAGCCAACUUUCGAAAUUGGAGGGAGUGCCCGAGUGCGUCCGCCGAGCCUGGAACAAGAGUGAUCUUGUGUCUUGUGUGUUAGCCAGGGAGAUCUUGUCCGUCCGACUGGUUAAUAGGGUCAGAGCUGAUACCGGGGGCCUAGUCGUUGGCACAAAACACAUGGGAAUUCCAUGGUGGAUCAAGGAUCACUUCAACGACCUUGGCUCCUUGGAUAUCAGGAUGUGCAAACUGGAGGAGCAGGAUCUCAAGAUUCUACGGGAGAUGCCUAGCCUGCAGUGGCUCACGCUAAGGCUGGAAAUUGUCCCAAGAAAGCUCAUAGCCAUUAGCAGUGAAGGGUUCCCAAGGCUCAACAAACUCUUUGUUGACUGCCGCGUUCCACCAGUUAUCACCUUCCAGGUAGGAGCGAUGCCGGGGCUGUUAAGUCUCUGCUUCGAUUUCCAGUUCUACGGUGGCCCACCUCCACCUGCAAAUAAAGACCCUCUGGCUAUGGGUAUCAAGCACCUCCGGCGCCUCGAGGUUGUCUCCUUCAGAUGCAAUGAGGAAUGGUAUGGAGGAGCAGCAGAGAGCAGCCCGUGCAUGAGCGCCAUCAUUGACGUCGUGAGGAAAGAAGCCCAGGAGCAUCCCAACGGCAUCAUCUUUGGUGUCUCUGGCCGCGGACUUGAGUAUUUCCCAGUGAAGGAGAGCUUGGCACGGGAUGUGUCCAGCAGUGGGAGUGGCGCUGAGAAUGCGAUGAAGCGUGAGGAGAAGAAGAGCACACCGGAGGCUUCCAGCAGCAGUGCAGGGACGGGCGAGAUCAACAAGGAAGAGGAGGAGAUCCUGGAAGCAGCAGCCGGCAGCGUGAUUGGGUUUCUUCCUUGA